rnacentral:rRNA from 1 species
UACGUAGGUGACAAGCGUUGUCCGGAUUCACUGGGCGUAAAGAGCGCGCAGGCGGUCGUUCAAGUCGAGUGUGAAAGCCCCCGGCUCAACUGGGGAGGGUCAUUCGAUACUGAUCGACUCGAAGGCAGGAGAGGGAAGUGGAAUUCCCGGUGUAGUGGUGAAAUGCGUAGAUAUCGGGAGGAACACCAGUGGCGAAGGCGACUUCCUGGCCUGUUCUUGACGCUGAGGCGCGAAAGCUAGGGGAGCAAACGGG